CCUACGGGUGGCAGCAGUGGGGAAUAUUGGGCAAUGGAGGCAACUCUGACCCAGCAACGCCGCGUGAAUGAUGAAGGUCUUCGGAUUGUAAAGUUCUUUUCUAAGGGAAGAAGAAAGUGACGGUACCUUAGGAAAAAGCAUCGGCUAACUCCGUGCCAGCAGCCGCGGUAAUACGGAGGAUGCGAGCGUUAUCCGGAUUUAUUGGGUUUAAAGGGUGCGCAGGCGGAGGCGCAAGUCAGCGGUAAAAUCGCGGGGCUCAACCCCGCUCCGCCGUUGAAACUGUGUCCCUUGAGUGCGCGAAGGGUAGGCGGAAUGCGUGGUGUAGCGGUGAAAUGCAUAGAUAUCACGCAGAACUCCGAUCGCGAAGGCAGCCUACCGGCGCGCAACUGACGCUCAUGCACGAAAGCGUGGGUAUCGAACAGGAUUAGAUACCCGUGUAGUC
rnacentral:rRNA from 1 species